UCCGAUGUGCCCAAUGGUAGAGGCGCCUGGCAUGGGGUCAGGAAAAUCGGGGUUCGAAUCCCCGCGUCGGUA
rnacentral:tRNA from 1 species